rnacentral:rRNA from 1 species
UACGUAGGGUGCAAGCGUUGUCCGGAAUUAUUGGGCGUAAAGAGCUCGUAGGCGGUCUGUCGCGUCGGCUGUGAAAACCCGGGGCUCAACCCCGGGCCUGCAGUCGAUACGGGCAGACUAGAGUGCGGUAGGGGAGACUGGAAUUCCUGGUGUAGCGGUGAAAUGCGCAGAUAUCAGGAGGAACACCGGUGGCGAAGGCGGGUCUCUGGGCCGUAACUGACACUGAGGAGCGAAAGCGUGGGUAGCAAACAGG